UAACACCAGCGCCACGAGUGGGAAUCAGCUUUAUUUGGCCUAAAACGUCCGUAGCUGGUUCGAUAAGUCCUUUGUGAAAUCAUCAGGCUCAACCUGACGGCGUGCAGAGGAUACUGUCGAACUCGAGACCGGGAGGAGUCAGAGGUAUUUUCAGGGGAGCGGUAAAAUGCUAUAAUCCUGGAAGGACCACCUGUGGCGUAGGCGUCUGACUAGAACGGAUCUGACAGUGAGGGACGAAAGCUAGGGGAGCGAUCCGGAUUAGAUACCCGAGUAGUCCUAGCCGUAAACGCUGUGAGCAAGGCGUUGCAUAUUUCUCGUGAAUAUGCAGUGUCGAAACGAAGGUGUUAAGCUCACUGCCUGGGAAGUACGGUCGCAAGACUG
rnacentral:rRNA from 1 species